UGAGGAAUAUUGGUCAAUGGGCGGAAGCCUGAACCAGCCAAGUCGCGUGAGGGAAGACGGUCCUAUGGAUUGUAAACCUCUUUUGCCGGGGAGCAAAGCCGGGCUCGUGAGCCCGGAAGGAGAGUACCCGGAGAAAAAGCAUCGGCUAACUCCGUGCCAGCAGCCGCGGUAAUACGGAGGAUGCGAGCGUUAUCCGGAUUUAUUGGGUUUAAAGGGUGCGUAGGCGGGAUCUUAAGUCAGCGGUAAAAUGCGGGGCUCAACCCCGUAGUGCCGUUGAAACUGAGGUUCUUGAGUGGGCGAGAAGUAUGCGGAAUGCGUGGUGUAGCGGUGAAAUGCAUAGAUAUCACGCAGAACUCCGAUUGCGAAGGCAGCAUACCGGCGCCCAACUGACGCUGAGGCACGAAACGCGUGGGGAUCGAACAGGAUUAGAUACC
rnacentral:rRNA from 1 species